rnacentral:tRNA from 1 species
AUCUAAGUAGUUUAAUAAAAAAUUUUAAUUUGUGGAGUUAAUGAUAUAGUAAAAAUUAUCUUAGAUU